UACGGAAGGCAGCAGUGGGGAAUAUUGCACAAUGGGCGAAAGCCUGAUGCAGCUAUGCCGCGUGUAUGAAGAAGGCCUUAGGGUUGUAAAGUACUUUCAUCGGGGAGGAAAAAACAAAACUAAUAAUUUUAUUUCUUGACGUUACCCGAAAAAGAAGCACCGGCUAACUCCGUGCCAGCAGCCGCGGUAAUACGGAGGGUGCUAGCGUUAAUCAGAAUUACUGGGCGUAAAGAGCACGUAGGUGGUUUUUUUAAGUCAGAUGUGAAAUCCCUGGGCUUAACCUAGGAACUGCAUUUUGAAACUGAAAUACUAGAGUAUCGUAGAGGGAGGUAGAAUUCUAGGUGUAGCGGUGAAAUGCGUAGAUAUCUGGAGGAUACCUGUGGCGAAAGCGGCCUCCUAAACGAAUACUGACACUGAGGUGCGAAAGCGUGGGGAGCAAACAGGGAUUAGAUA
rnacentral:rRNA from 1 species